AGUGAACGCUGGCGGUAGGCCUAACGCAUGCAAGUCGAACGGCAGCACAGUAAGAGCUUGCUCUUACGGGUGGCGAGUGGCGGACGGGUGAGGAAUACAUCGGAAUCUACUUUUUCGUGGGGGAUAACGUAGGGAAACUUACGCUAAUACCGCAUACGACCUACGGGUGAAAGCAGGGGAUCUUCGGACCUUGCGCGAUUGAAUGAGCCGAUGUCGGAUUAGCUAGUUGGCGGGGUAAAGGCCCACCAAGGCGACGAUCCGUAGCUGGUCUGAGAGGAUGAUCAGCCACACUGGAACUGAGACACGGUCCAGACUCCUACGGGAGGCAGCAGUGGGGAAUAUUGGGCAAAGGGCGCAAGCCUGAUCCAGCCAUACCGCGUGGGUGAAGAAGGCCUUCGGGUUGUAAAGCCCUUUUGUUGGGAAAGAAAAGCAGCAGGUUAAUACCCCGCUGUUCUGGCGGUACCCAAAGAAUAAGCACCGGCUAACUUCGUG
rnacentral:rRNA from 1 species